rnacentral:rRNA from 1 species
CACACCGCCCGUCACACCAUGGGAGUCAGUUGCUCUAGAAGUCGGUGCCGCCAACCGUAGUGAGGUAGCCGCCUAAAGAGUGACUGGUAACUGGGUG